rnacentral:rRNA from 1 species
GCCCAGACUCCUACGGGAGGCAGCAGUGGGGAAUAUUGGGCAAUGGGCGCAAGCCUGACCCAGCAACGCCGCGUGAAGGAAGAAGGCCCUCGGGUUGUAAACUUCUUUUCUAUAGGACGAAGAAGUGACGGUACUAUAGGAAUAAGCCACGGCUAACUACGUGCCAGCAGCCGCGGUAAUACGUAGGUGGCGAGCGUUAUCCGGAUUUACUGGGUGUAAAGGGCGUGUAGCCGGGCCGGCAAGUCAGAUGUGAAAUCCCAAGGCUCAACCUUGGAACUGCAUUUGAAACUGUUGGUCUUGAGUAUCGGAGAGGCAGGCGGAAUUCCUAGUGUAGCGGUGAAAUGCGUAGAUAUUAGGAGGAACACCAGUGGCGAAGGCGGCCUGCUGGACGACAACUGACGGUGAGGCGCGAAAGCGUGGGGAGCAAACAGGAUUAGAUACCCUAGUA